AUUGAACGCUGGCGGCAUGCCUUACACAUGCAAGUCGAACGGUAACAGGUCUUCGGAUGCUGACGAGUGGCGAACGGGUGAGUAAUACAUCGGAACGUGCCUAGUAGUGGGGGAUAACUACUCGAAAGAGUGGCUGAUACCGCAUGAGAUCUACGGAUGAAAGCAGGGGAUCGCAAGACCUUGUGCUACUAGAGCGGCCGAUGGCAGAUUAGGUAGUUGGUGGGAUAAAAGCUUACCAAGCCGACGAUCUGUAGCUGGGCUGAGAGGACGAUCAGCCACACUGGGACUGAGACACGGCCCAGACUCCUACGGGAGGCAGCAGAGGGGAAUUUUGGACAAUGGGCGAAAGCCUGAUCCAGCAAUGCCGCGUGCAGGAUGAAGGCCUUCGGGUUGUAAACUGCUUUUGUACGGAACGAAAAGCCCCGGGUUAAUACCCUGGGGUCAUGACGGUACCGUAAGAAUAAGCACCGGCUAACUACGUGCCAGCCGCCGCGGUAA
rnacentral:rRNA from 1 species